UACAGAGGGGGCAAGCGUUAUUCGGAAUUAUUGGGCGUAAAGGGCGCGUAGGCGGCCUUUCAAGUGACGGGUGAAAGCCCUCGGCUUAACCGAGGAACUGCCUGUCAGACUGGAAGGCUUGAGACCGGGAGAGGUGAGUGGAAUUCCCAGUGUAGCGGUGAAAUGCGUAGAUAUCGAGAGGAACACCUGCGGCGAAGGCGGGUUGCUGGGCUGACACUGACGCUGAGGCGCGAAAGCUAGGGGAGCGAACGGG
rnacentral:rRNA from 1 species